UACGUAGGGGGCAAGCGUUGUCCGGAAUUAUUGGGCGUAAAGAGCGCGUAGGCGGCCAGGCAGGUCUGGUGUGAAAACUCGAGGCUUAACCUCGAGAUGUCAUCGGAAACCAUCUGGCUAGAGUCCGGAAGAGGAGAGUGGAAUUCCUGGUGUAGCGGUGAAAUGCGCAGAUAUCAGGAAGAACACCAGUGGCGAAAGCAGCUCUCUGGGACGGUACUGACGCUGAGACGCGAAAGCGUGGGGAGCGAACAGG
rnacentral:rRNA from 1 species